UACGGAGGGUGCAAGCGUUAUCCGGAUUCACUGGGUUUAAAGGGUGCGUAGGUGGGCAGGUAAGUCAGUGGUGAAAUCUCCGGGCUUAACCCGGAAACUGCCGUUGAUACUAUCUGUCUUGAAUAUCGUGGAGGUGAGCGGAAUAUGUCAUGUAGCGGUGAAAUGCUUAGAUAUGACAUAGAACACCAAUUGCGAAGGCAGCCCGCUACACGGUUAUUGACACUGAGGCACGAAAGCGUGGGGAUCAAACAGG
rnacentral:rRNA from 1 species